rnacentral:lncRNA from 1 species
GGCAAUUCUGUGACACUUUCCAAUCUAAGGCCGACAGAGCAAGGCAACCAGAUUUUUUUCUACAGCACCCUCCCAGGUGAGCAGUGGGCCUGGAGCCCUUCUGUAACCUGGCAUCUGUAGGUCUUCUCAUUAAGAACGAGAGUCAGAAGAGGAAAGGACUUAACACUCAUUACAACUCAGUCAUGGGGCUCUGAAGCGUCCCGAGGUCCCCUCUUUCCCACCCUACCUGUCGGCUGCGCGGCUCCACCACUUGCCAAACUAGGAGGAUUAAGUCGGUCUCGUCCGAGCCUAGGUCCGGCCCCAGCGCACCGGCAGUGGCCCCGAACAAAACCACCAGCGACUGAGGGUCACGCAAGACCCAUGGAAUUCAACAGGAGGCAAUCUAGGGACUAUAAAAGGUCGCGACGUCUGGCUUGAGGUUAAUGGAAGUUACAAAGGGUCAAAAGCCGACAGUGAGCGCUACCAGGUGUCGGGUCGGCGUAGUGCCGGCAGUGCAAGGCGCACGUUACUGUGGACCUGAAGGCUCAGGCCUUGGUGCCAAGGCCGCCCUGUGGGCUCAGGAUAGUUUCCCACCUACUCGACUGUAAUUAGUACUCUGGCGAGAGUAAAAAGGUACUGGCGUGGGACUUAGAAUACAGGAUGCCACCGGCUGAAGAAGAACCUUGUGUGUUUGGAAAAGCGGGCUGCUUCCUAUCGGUCUUGGAUAAAAGGCAACCCAGAGCCCGGGUGCAUCCCUAACUCAUGCCCAAGGAAGGUCGUGCGGAGCCAGAGGACCUAGAAUGUAUAGUGCGCCUUCUGGGUUUGUCCACACAAUAGCGCAGGAACACAGCGACCCAAUAUAGUGAGAAGUGGCCGCAGCGCACACCCUGAGACCCUUCACCAGGCGGCCCACCCGGAGCCUGCCUACUCAGCCCCGCUACCACGAUAAGCCUGGAAUGUCAAAUAUUUGUUCUAGGAACCCAGUGAAACCUUGAGGUAAAGCCCCUCCCCUCCUCCCUCCCAUUCCGGAGCGCGCCUGCGUCAGUCCAGGCUUUCCGGUAAGGACACUCCCUUCCAACUAGUUCCUUCUCGACACCCCUGCAACCCAUCGUCCUGACUAUUUAAACUUCACAAGGUCUUCGCUACAGGCUCAGGUUCAGUGAGGCAGAGUCUUGGCUUCCCUACCCAGUUAUCCCAGAGCUACUGGUAUCGGUUUCUACCCACAACCUCCGAGCAAGGCUCCCCUUUCAACCUGUAGACCUCGCCUCCCGAUUCUCGGGAGAUCUUGCUGACUGUGGAAUCCCUGGCUGUUCCGAACCCCCUGGAAAGAAGCGGCUGUUCCCAGGUUUCUGCAAGGUAACGAAUCUGAAGAGUCAACAGAAUUGAGCGGCUCCAUUCAUUCGACUCUGGUUCUCUCAACCAGGCAUUCCCCAUAUUAAAACAAUUCCAGAACUUCAAA